rnacentral:lncRNA from 1 species
ACUCCACAAAUGAAGAAAAGAGCAAACCUGAAAUUUUCCCAUUGCAGGGCAAUAGAGUUUACACUCAAAGCCAUUAUAAAAAACGUCCUCCUCCUCCAUCUGACGAGGGCAAACCUGAAACUUUCCCAUUGGGCAAUAGCCAUUACACUCAAACCCGUUAUAAAAAACGUCCUCCUCCUCCAUCUGACGAGGGCAAACCUGAAAAUUUCCCAUUGGGCAAUAGCCAUUACACUCAAACCCGUUAUAAAAAACGUCCUCCUCCUCCAUCCGACGAGGGCAAACCUGAAAAUUUCCCAUUGGCCAAUAGCUUUUACACUCAAACCCGUUAUAAAAAACGUCCUCCUCCUCCAUCUGACGAGGGCAAACCUGAAAAUUUCCCAUUGGCCAAUAGCUUUUACACUCAAAGCCAUUAUAAAAAACGUCCUCCUCCUCCAUCUGACGAGGGCAAACCUGAAAAUUUCCCAUUGGCACGUUCUCCUCCAUCUGACAGUCAACUAAAGCAUUACAAAGACUUAGCUAUUUUCUUCUUCGAGAAGGACAUGCGCCCGGGCACAACUAUGAAGUUCCAAUUCCCUAGAAAUUCAAACACGGCUACUUUCCUGCCACGCGAAAGUG